GACAGAGGGUGCAAACGUUGUUCUGAAUUACUGGGCGUAAAGCGUGCGCAGGCGGUUCGUUGUGUCGGCGGUGAAAGCCCCGGGCUUAACCUGGGAAUGGCCGUUGAAACUGGCGAACUGGAGUGUGGCAGAGGGGGGUGGAAUUCCGCGUGUAGCAGUGAAAUGCGUAGAGAUGCGGAGGAACACCGAUGGCGAAGGCAGCCCCCUGGGCUAACACUGACGCUCAGGCACGAAAGCGUGGGGAGCAAACAGG
rnacentral:rRNA from 1 species